rnacentral:rRNA from 1 species
AAAAUAGGUGCCCGUACCGCAAACCGACACAGGUAGUCAAGAUGAGAAUUCUAAGGUGAGCGAGCGAACUCUCGUUAAGGAACUCGGCAAAAUGACCCCGUAACUUCGGGAGAAGGGGUGCUCUUUAGGGUUAACGCCCAGAAGAGCCGCAGUGAAUAGGCCCAAGCGACUGUUUAUCAAAAACACAGGUCUCUGCUAAACCGUAAGGUGAUGUAUAGGGGCUGACGCCUGCCCGGUGCUGGAAGGUUAAGAGGAGUGGUUAGCUUCUGCGAAGCUACGAAUCGAAGCCCCAGUAAACGGCGGCCGUAACUAUAACGGUCCUAAGGUAGCGAAAUUCCUUGUCGGGUAAGUUCCGACCCGCACGAAAGGCGUAACGAUUUGGGCACUGUCUCAACGAGAGACUCGGUGAAAUCAUAGUACCUGUGAAGAUGCAGGUUACCCGCGACAGGACGGAAAGACCCCGUGGAGCUUUACUGUAGCCUGAUAUUGAAAUUCGGCACAGCUUGUACAGGAUAGGUAGGAGCCUUUGAAACGUGAGCGCUAGCUUACGUGGAGGCGCUGGUGGGAUACUACCCUAGCUGUGUUGGCUUUCUAACCCGCACCACUUAUCGUGGUGGGAGACAGUGUCAGGCGGGCAGUUUGACUGGGGCGGUCGCCUCCUAAAAG